rnacentral:rRNA from 1 species
AACGAACGCUGGCGGCAGGCUUAACACAUGCAAGUCGAGCGCCCCGCAAGGGGAGCGGCAGACGGGUGAGUAACGCGUGGGAAUCUACCCAUCUCUACGGAAUAACGCAUGGAAACGUGUGCUAAUACCGUAUACGUCCUUCGGGAGAAAGAUUUAUCGGAGAUGGAUGAGCCCGCGUUGGAUUAGCUAGUUGGUGGGGUAAAGGCCUACCAAGGCGACGAUCCAUAGCUGGUCCGAGAAGAUGAUCAGCCACACUGGGACUGAGCACACGGCCCAGACUCCUACGGGGGGCAGCAGUGGGGAAUAUUGGACAAUGGGCGCAAGCCUGAUCCAGCCAUGCCGCGUGAGUGAUGAAGGCCCUAGGGUUGUAAAGCUCUUUCACCGGUGAAGAUAAUGACGGUAACCGGAGAAGAAGCCCCGGCUAACUUCGUGCCAGCCGCCGCCGUAACAC